rnacentral:rRNA from 1 species
AGCAGCAGCCACGGGAAUACGGAGGGGGCUAGCGUUGUUCGGAAUUACUGGGCGUAAAGCGCACGUAGGCGGAUAUUUAAGUCAGGGGUGAAAUCCCGCAGCUCAACUGCGGAACUGCCUUUGAUACUGGGUAUCUUGAGUAUGGAAGAGGUUAGUGGAAUUGCGAGUGUAGAGGUGAAAUUCGUAGAUAUUCGCAGGAACACCAGUGGCGAAGGCGGCUAACUGGUCCAUAACUGACGCUGAGGUGCGAAAGCGUGGGGAGCAAACAGGAUUAGAUACCCCUGUAGUCCCUGUCUCUUAUAC